rnacentral:rRNA from 1 species
GAUGAACGCUGGCGGCGUGCCUAAUACAUGCAAGUCGAGCGAACAGACGAGGAGCUUGCUCCUCUGACGUUAGCGGCGGACGGGUGAGUAACACGUGGAUAACCUACCUAUAAGACUGGGAUAACUUCGGGAAACCGGAGCUAAUACCGGAUAAUAUAUUGAACCGCAUGGUUCAAUAGUGAAAGACGGUUUUGCUGUCACUUAUAGAUGGAUCCGCGCUGCAUUAGCUAGUUGGUAAGGUAACGGCUUACCAAGGCAACGAUGCCUAGCCGACCUGAGAGGGGGAUCGGCCACACUGGAACCGAGACACGGUCCCGACUCCUACGGGAGGCAGCAGUAGGGAAUCUUCCGCAAGGGGCGAAAGCCUGACGGAGCAACGCCGCGUGAGUGAUGAAGGUCUUCGGGUCGGAAAACUCUGUUAUUAGGGAAGAAAAAAAGUGUAAGUAACUAUUCACGUCUUGACGGUACCUAAACAAAAAGGCACGGGUAACUACGUG